UACGUAGGGUCCGAGCGUUGUCCGGAAUUACUGGGCGUAAAGAGCUCGUAGGUGGUUUGUCACGUUGUUCGUGAAAACCCACAGCUCAACUGUGGGCGUGCGAGCGAUACGGGCAGACUAGAGUACUGCAGGGGAGACUGGAAUUCCUGGUGUAGCGGUGGAAUGCGCAGAUAUCAGGAGGAACACCGGUGGCGAAGGCGGGUCUCUGGGCAACAACUGACGCUGAGGAGCGAAAGCGUGGGGAGCGAACAGG
rnacentral:rRNA from 1 species